rnacentral:lncRNA from 1 species
CAAAUAAAAACAUUGCAAGAGAGGGCAGAAUCCAUGUUCGUAAUCCCCUAGCAAAUACACCACUAGGGAAAUUAUCCGGUGACAUUUCUGUCCAGACUUUUCUCAUACAAGUUUAGGAACAGGAGAAUACGUGGUUACAUGAAUACAUGUUAUCCUCAUAACAACAACCCUUUGAGGUAGUUCAGGCUAAGCGUGUAUGUCUGGUCCGAAAUCAGAGUGAGAUUUAUGGCUUAAUGAGCCAUCCCAAGGGCCAGACCAAAGCACCCCUAGCACUCUUCCACAAUGGCGCUUCAGACGGUGAUGACCUCAAAAGCUAUGUCUGGAACCAUCUUUGGUGGAUUUAUGCUUGCUGGCGCCUUAGAGUCCUCACCCUUUAAGGAAGAUCUCCAGCCAUUUAACACCUGAUGAAGGCUGGCUCAUCUCCUGCCAGGUCAGCCGGGGUUCUCAGCAUCCACGUGGUUGCUCUGCACCUUCCCCGAACAUGAACUGGAGCCAUCUGUCACCCUUGAUUGAUUGUGAUCUAAAAAUACCUCCUGGCCACAGCCUGAUGUCCAGAGGGGGGAUGGCUUGUUUUUGUAGUUGAGUUUGGAGUUCAUCCCAAGAGUGGGAGGUGCAGCCGGGUGACAUCUGCCCCUUGGGUGCACGCGUGUGCGCGUCGGAUUUCAUCUGUUUUUCGAUGCCACUGAAUGAACAGAACCCAGUCAACAGAAAACAUGGCAACUAUGACAUUAAUGGACCUCCUUCAAAGCUAGUGACCGCCAAAGGAUUCAGGAAUAAGACUGGAAAUCCUCAAGGCAGGAAUAGAGUCCACCCCCCUUUUUAGGUUAGUCCAAAAUGCUGUGCAUUUUGAUGGUACUGCACAACUAACAGAUACCAUGUGCUUUGUUGUGU